rnacentral:rRNA from 1 species
GGCGAACGCUGGCGGCGUGCCUAAUACAUGCAAGUUGAGCGCUGAAGGUUGGUACUUGUACCGACUGGAUGAGCAGCGAACGGGUGAGUAACGCGUGGGGAAUCUGCCUUUGAGCGGGGGACAACAUUUGGAAACGAAUGCUAAUACCGCAUAAAAACUUUAAACACAAGUUUUAAGUUUGAAAGAUGCAAUUGCAUCACUCAAAGAUGAUCCCGCGUUGUAUUAGCUAGUUGGUGAGAUAAGGGCUCACCAAGGCGAUGAUACAUAGCCGACCUGAGAGGGUGAUCGGCCACAUUGGGACUGAGACACGGCCCAAACUCCUACGGGAGGCAGCAGUAGGGAAUCUUCGGCAAUGGACGAAAGUCUGACCGAGCAACGCCGCGUGAGUGAAGAAGGUUUUCGGAUCGUAAAACUCUGUUGGUAGAGAAGAACGUUGGUGAGAGUGGAAAGCUCAUCAAGUGACGGUAACUACCCAGAAAGGGACGGCUAACUACGUGCCAGCAGCCGCCGUAA